AUGAACGCUGGCGGCGUGCCUAAUCCCUGCAAGUCGCGCGAACAGACGAGGAGCUUGCUCCUUUGACGUUAGCGGCGGACGGGUGAGUAACACGUGGGUAACCUACCUAUAAGACUGGGAUAACUUCGGGAAACCGGAGCUAAUACCGGAUAAUAUUUCGAACCGCAUGGUUCGAUAGUGAAAGAUGGCUCUGCUAUCACUUAUAGAUGGACCUGCGCCGUAUUAGCUAGUUGGUAAGGUAACGGCUUACCAAGGCAACGAUACGUAGCCGACCUGAAAGGGUGAUCGGCCACACUGGAACUGAGACACGGUCCAGACUCCUACGGGAGGCAGCAGUAGGGAAUCUUCCGCAAUGGGCGAAAGCCUGACGGAGCAACGCCGCGUGAGUGAUGAAGGUCUUCGGAUCGUAAAACUCUGUUAUUAGGGAAGAACAAACGUGUAAGUAACUGUGCACGUCUUGACGGUACCUAAUCAGAAAGCCACGGCUAACUACGU
rnacentral:rRNA from 1 species